AUGCUCACUUCAGCAGCAUGUAUACUAAAAUUGGAAUGAUACAGAGAAGAUGAGCAUGACCCCUGCACAAGGAUGACACACAAAUUUAUGAAGUGUUCCAUUAAAAC